UUAGAUUUUUUUGAGAGGAAUACUACUUGGAGUUCAAGUUAUUGAUUCUUGAAUUUCUAUCUACAUUGAGGUAAGGAGAUGUCAAUUUUUUUUUUUGGGAAACCCUAGAAUUCGAUUUUGGGAUUUUGAUUAAUUAUUUGUGGGAAUGAUUAUAUAAAUGGAAUAUUUCACUUGGGAAUUGAUUUUAUGGAACAAAUGUAUAUUAAAUGGGUGAAAUUGUGGUUACUAGUUUCAUUAGAUUGGAGACUAAAAUUAGUUUUAAACUUGGGAAGAAUGUUUUGUUGAUGAAUUAAUUAUUAGAAAAGAGAUUAGAAAGUGGGAUUAGCUCCAAUUGAUCAAAAGAAUAUUUGGGAAAUUCAUUUGAGCAUCGACCAAUUUUAGUUAAGUAUUAUAGAAGUAGAUCUUAAAAUUUCUUAAUUUAAUAGUGGUUGAUUAGUCAUCUUGUUAUAUAUUCCAGGUGGUGGCGAGGAGAUUGGAAGAGCCUAUCGACCAUCUUAGGUUCAACUUGUAUUAUGUGAGUGGAUAAGCUUAUUUUUUUAGAAAUGAGUAUUUAUUUAAUUUUGAAGUUACGUAUUUUAUAAGUUGAGUUGAUAGCAUGAUUUUUCAGAAUAAAACGAGUUUUAUUAUCAAAUGUUUUUAAAAUUUAAAUUCAGUUCAGUUAAAUUCUUUCAUUGACAUAUUAUUUCGGUAUUAAAUAUUUUAGUAUAUUCGAAGUUAUUUUAAAACCACCAGAAAGUACUCAAGUGAUUUUACCCUCGUCUGCACUGGUGUGAAUGUGUUUUCACAGUGUAUGAUUUCAUAUGGUUAUUUUACCUACUCUGCACUAGUGUGAAUGUGUUUCCACGGUGUAUGAUCAGUAUAGUGAUUUUACCCGCUCUGCACUAUUGUGAAUGUGUUUCCAUAAUGUAUGACCAUUUUAUAGCUCUGCGCGCGUACGACCAGAAUUUCAGAAUUGAAUAACCUUGCUAUGUAGAUCGAGAUUAAUCGAUUCACGAGUAUGGUUAUUCCGGGUACAUUUUUGGUGUGAUGUUUCAGUAUCACAUAGCUUAUCAAAUUUUAGAAAUGCAGUAUACAGAAUAAAGAUGUUUAUGAUUACAGUAUAUUUUAAUUUUGAUUGUAUCAUCAGAUUUUAAGCUACAAAACUCAACCUAUUCAGUUUAAAGAAUAAAUAUUUAGUUUAUAUGUCUGUGAAAAGAAAUUUUAUACUAUAUGUCGAUUUUAAGAAAUAUUUUAUGAAUAGAAAAUUAUAUUUUUGCAAAUAUCCACUCACUGAGUUAUAUGCUCACAUUUUUAUCACUAUUUCUCUAAUCAGAUAGUAGCUGAGUUGAACACUACUGGGCCAGUUGAUCUAUCAAGUUGAGCCAUAGAUUGUCAAGCAUUGUAUGAACUAUCUUUUCAGUUUAAGAGUUCAUAUUUUGGGAUAGACACCUCUUUUGGUCAUAAAUUAGUUCCAUGUGUUGGGCUUGCUAUGUUUUGUAUAUAUAUUAUGCAUUUUGGGUACUGUGGUUUAGAAAUUGUUGCAAAAGUCGAAUUGCCAGUGUUUUAUUUGAAUAGUUGAUAUUUUGAGGGGCCGGUGUACCCUAUUUCAAAUGAUAUGUACAUGUUUGAGAUAUUUGAUUUUAUUUUCAGG
rnacentral:lncRNA from 1 species